CUGGCUGGCAUCUCACGCCGGCGUCCAGCGCCACCGAUGCCGAUCUCCAGCCUUUGUCCGGCCCAUGGAUCCCGAUGUGGAGCUCCACUGCGGCCCGAUCUGACGUGGGAGCGGCCAGAUCCGUGCAUCUCCGCCUCGCUCCGCGCGCCUCCAUGGUCCACCGUCUUCUCGAGCGCCGGUGCCGCGCUCAGCCGCCGCCGUCCCAUUCCAUGGUUGCCUCCCUCCAGAACGACCUGCCAUGGCCGCCUCCCUGCCUCUCCCGCAAGUGGGCCUCUGCACAACCAGAUCCGUUCCUCUGCGCCUCGCUCCGCGCGCCAUGAUGGUCCUCCGUCUUCCCGAGCGCCGGCGCCGUGCGCAGCCGCCGCCGUCCCAUGCCAUGGUCGCCUUCCUCCAGAACGCCGUGCCAUGGCCACCUCCCUGCCUCUCCCGCAAGUGGGCCUCUGCGCCCCCGGCCUAGCAGAUUAAUGGAGGGCGCUGCCGACGUCGGGACAUGCCUCGGUUCACCUGCUUCCUGAUGUCCAAUUAUUUUUUGUUGUUGCUAUAUUCAACCUCAUCUCUGAAAGCCUACACCUUCCUGUGCUGUUGCUAUAUUCACGAGUUUGACAGGAGAAGGGACUGGAGGUAUACAGUAGGCAGAACAGUGGAACAAAACUCAGCUUCAAUUAAUCGACAUGGUGUUCGCAAAUGGAAAGUCGUUCCUGCUGCUACAGUUCAUUGGUUCAAGUCCGACACUGAGCUCACAAUGGACGUUGAGUUGGUGGACACAAUGGACAAUAAGCCCAUGAAGCUCCAGAAGUCCAGAUUUGGAUACGGUAUUUCCCUUUCUAUCUAAAAUCUACCAUAGAAAUUUGUACUAGCUGCAUAUACAUCAAAAGAGGUGGCACACUUGAAACUACUUCAGGAACAUUUUAGUUGUCAAAGGCAAAUAACCAUCUUCAGUGGUCGUUACAUUAAACCUAGGACGAGAUGCAUAUAGAGUUCUGUUAUGGCUACUACGAUACAGAUGUCAACGCAAAGUAUUUCCUCUUUUCUAUGAAAAGGUUUACAUUAUAAGGAUAAUCGAGUAUAAUAAUAUGGAUGAAAAUAUUGCUCUCCUGCUAGGUCUUAGAAGUUAGAAUCCACAAAGUUAGGUUAAUUAUAGUAAUUAUGACCCCACUUAUGCCUUCUCUUUACGCAUUAAGAUGUGUCGCUCCUUUAAAAAAAUAAGAUAUUGAUUCUUGUGUUUUGAAGUUUUGGAUGUGACUAAUUGCAUGACAUGCUGAUAUCUGGCGAGCCUGGUGUGUUGUGUUUUCUCACACCCGCCGCCGUCGCACAAGGUGAUUGUUGGACGUGAGCGAGCUUCAGGAGCACUUCCUACAGGUCUAAAAUUUUGAGUUUUCAGGUCUAAAAUGUAACUGAUGUAAAGAUUUGUCCAUCCCUUGACAGAAUCCGACUUUUUUUCCAGCUGGUGCACUGAGGGAGGCGUUUGAUGUAGCAACUGCCUUUAAAAAACAAUGCCAUGAUUGAUUCAUUCCCCACUGGUAUAUUCAAAGUUCUAGGUCUAUACAUCAAUACAUGUAUAUUGCUUCUAAAGAUCUUGCAAAUUUGGAAGCUAAAAUUAGAUAAAAUGAUAUACGUUUUUAGGUUAAUUCUAAUGUAAUGCAAUUUCAACUUCCUCUGGACUCUUGAAAGUAACUAUUUUGUUUGCCUGCAGUAUGUUCGUCCAGCAGAGGAUGCUCUUCAGUGGAAAAUUCUGAAACCUUAUUCAGCUUUGAUGUAUAGCUGGCACAGUUUGUUAAUAAUCUCUAUGAACAUUUGUACAAAUGGUGACAAAAAAGUUCUUUUAUAACCA